UGAAUACGAGACGCUACGGCGUCGAAGCAGUCUAUGUCAUACUUCCAAGAAAAGCUUGCACUGUCAUAAACAAAUAAUGCCUGUACCAUAACCGACACAGGUGGGUAGGUAGAGUAUACUAAGGGGCGCGAGAUAACUCUCUCUAAGGAACUCGGCAAAAUGACUCCGUAACUUCGGGAGAAGGAGUGCCUUAUUUAUAAGGUUGCAAUAACAAGAUCCAAGCAACUGUUUAUCAAAAACACAGGUCUCCGCUAAGUCGUAAGACGAUGUAUGGGGGCUGACGCCUGCCCAGUGCCAGAAGGUUAAAGAAGUUGGUUAGCAUUAGCGAAGCUGAUAACUGAAGCCCUGGUGAACGGCGGCCGUAACUAUAACGGUCCUAAGGUAGCGAAAUUCCUUGUCGGGUAAGUUCCGACCCGCACGAAAGGCGUAAUGAUUUGGAUACUGUCUCGGAGAGGGGCUCGGUGAAAUAGACUUGUCUGUGAAGAUGCGGACUACCUGCACCUGGACAGAAAGACCCUAUGAAGCUUUACUGUAACCUGAAAUUGAAAUUGGACUUUAUUUGCGCAGUAUAGGUGGGAGGCGUUGAGAAUAUUCUUGCGGGAAUAUUGGAGCCAUCAGUGAGAUACCACUCUUGUAAUGUUAGAUUUCUAACUUUGAAUCAUUAUCUGGUCAAAGAACAGUUUCAGGCGGGCAGUUUGACUGGGGCGGUCGCCUCCUAAAUGGUAACGGAGGCGCACAAAGGUUUCCUCUGAACGGGUAGAAAUCGUAUCUAGAGUGUAAAGGCAUAAGGAAGCUUGACUGUGAGACCUACAAGUCGAGCAGGGACGAAAGUCGGUCUUAGUGAUCUGACGGUGCUGAGUGGAAAGGCCGUCACUCAACGGAUAAAAGUUACUCUAAGGAUAACAGGCUGAUCUCCCCCAAGAGUUCACAUCGACGGGGAGGUUUGGCACCUCGAUGUCGGCUCAUCGCAUCCUGGGGCGGUAGUACGUCCCAAGGGUUGGGCUGUUCGCCCAUGAAAGCGGUACGCGAGCUGGGUUCAGAACGUCGUGAGACAGUUCGGUCCAUAUCCGGUGUAGGCGUUAGAAUAUUGAGAGGAGCCUUCUUUAGUACGAGAGGACCGAGAAGGACAUACCUCUGGUGUACCAGUUAUCGUGCCAACGGUAAACGCUGGGUAGCUAUGUACGGAGAGGAUAACCGCUGAAAGCAUCUAAGUGGGAAGCCCGCCUCAAGAUAAG
rnacentral:rRNA from 1 species